ACGAACGCUGGCAGCGUGCUUAACACAUGCCAGUCGAACGGAAAGGCCCUGCUUUUGUGGGGUGCUCGAGUGGCGAACGGGUGAGUAACACGUGAGUAACCUGCCCUUGACUUUGGGAUAACUUCAGGAAACUGGGGCUAAUACCGGAUAGGAGCUCCUGCUGCAUGGUGGGGGUUGGAAAGUUUCGGCGGUUGGGGAUGGACUCGCGGCUUAUCAGCUUGUUGGUGGGGUAGUGGCUUACCAAGGCUUUGACUGGUAGCCGGCCUGAGAGGGUGACCGGCCACAUUGGGACUGAGAUACGGCCCAGACUCCUACGGGAGGCAGCAGUGGGGAAUAUUGCACAAUGGGCGGAAGCCUGAUGCAGCAACGCCGCGUGCGGGAUGACGGCCUUCGGGUUGUAAACCGCUUUCGCCUGUGACGAAGCGUGAGUGACGGUAAUGGGUAAAGAAGAACCGGCUAACUACGUG
rnacentral:rRNA from 1 species